UACGUAGGGUGCAAGCGUUAAUCGGAAUUACUGGGCGUAAAGCGUGCGCAGGCGGUUGUGCAAGACAGAUGUGAAAUCCCCGGGCUUAACCUGGGAAUUGCAUUUGUGACUGCACGGCUAGAGUGUGUCGAGGGAGGGGUAGUAUCACGUGUAGCAGUGAAAUGCGUAGAUAUGUGGAGGAAUACCGAUGGCGAAGGCAGGUCUCUGGGCUGACACUGACGCUCAUGCACGAAAGCGUGGGGAGCAAACAGG
rnacentral:rRNA from 1 species